rnacentral:rRNA from 1 species
CACGUAGGGGGCAAGCGUUGUCCGGAUUUAUUGGGCGUAAAGAGCGUGUAGGCGGCCAGGUAGGUCCGCUGUGAAAACUCGAGGCUCAACCUCGAGAUGUCGGCGGAAACCAUCUGGCUAGAGUCCGGAAGAGGAGAGUGGAAUUCCUGGUGUAGCGGUGAAAUGCGCAGAUAUCAGGAAGAACACCCGUGGCGAAGGCGGCUCUCUGGGACGGUACUGACGCUGAGACGCGAAAGCGUGGGGAGCGAACAGG